AUGAGAAAGUGCCUACUAAAACAGUUGGAGAGAGCAGAGGUUCGCCUGGAAGGGAUAGAUACAAUUUUAAAAUUGUAUCUGGUGAACAAGAAUUUCUUACUUCCAUCUGUGCAGUAUGCGAUGUUUUGUGGAUGGCAAAGACUUAUUCCUGAGGGAAUCGAUAUAGGGGAACCUCUUACUGAUUGUUUAAAGGAUGUUGAUUUGAUCCCACCUUUUAAUCGGAUGCUGCUGGAAGUCACCUUUGGCAAGCUGCAUGCUUGGGCUGUUCAGAACAUUCGAAAUGUUUUGGUGGAUCCCAGUGCCAAAUUUAAAGAGCUUGGUAUCCAGCCGGUUCCCCAGCAAACCAUCACCAAUGAGAACCCGUCGGGACCGAGCCUGGGGACCAUCCCGCAAGCCCACUUCCUCCUGGUGAUGCUCAGCAUGCUCACCCUGCAGCACAGCACAAACAACCUUGACCUCCUGCUCAAUUCCGGCACGCUGGCCCUCGCUCAGACGGCACUGCGCCUAAUUGGUAGGUCUGCACUGGCUUGAGAGCCUUUGGGAAAACGUCAAGAUUUUGCUUUGAUUUAUUUUUUCUUUUUUUUUUUUAAAGCUUUUUGUAAAUUAUGGUAAGACACAAAUAGCAGAAAGUGUAGCAUUUUAACGUCGCAAUUCAGCGGUAUUAAAUACAUUCACAAUUUUCUAGAGUCAUCACCACUGUCUAGUUGUAGAACUUUUUCAUCACUAUAAAUGCACCCCAUUUAGCCAUCAGUCCUCACUCCCCUGCUCUCCAGCCCCUGGUAGUCACAAAUCUGCUUUCUCUGUCUAUGGAUUUGCAUAUCCCGGAUAUUUCAUAUAAAUGGAAUCAUACCAUUUGUGGCCUUUGUGUCUGGGUUAUUUCAUUUGGUAUAUAUCAGUACUUUAUUUUUAUGGCUGAAAAAGAUUUCAUUGUAUGAAUAUAUAACAUUUUGUUUAUUCAUUUAUCUGUUGAUGGACAUUUGGGUUGGUUUUGCCUUUUGACUUUUGUGAAUAGUGCUGCUAGGAACAUUUAUAUACAAAUACUUGUUUGAACACUUGUUUCUAGUUCUUUUGAUUAUACACCUAGGACUGGAAUUACAGGGUCAUAUGGUAUAACUAUGUGUAACUUACUAAGAAACUACCAAAGUUUUCCACAGUGCCGUAUCAUUUUUACAUUCCCAUCACCAGGGGGCAGGAUUCCAGGGUUCCAGUUUCUCUGCUUCCCUGCCAACACUAUUUUUUGUGGUUUUCUUUUUUUUUUUUUUGGAUUAAGGCCAUCCUAGCGGGUGUGAAGUGGUAUCUCAUUGUGAUUUUGAUUUGCAUUUCACUAAUGAUGAAUGACAUUGAGCUUCUUUACAUGUUUGUGCUUGUUGGCCAUUUGUAUAUCUUCUUUGGAGAAGUGUCUAUUCAAGUCCCUUUCUCUUUAUUUUUUAUUUUAUUUUUUUGAGACGGAGUCUCACUCUGUGGCCCAAGCUGGAGCGCAGUGGCACGAUCUCGGCUCACUGCAACCUCCGCCUCCCGGUUUCAAGCGCUUCUUGUGCCUCAGCCUCCCAAGUAGCUGGGAUUACAGUCACACACCACCACACCUGGCUAACUUUUGUAUUUUUAGUAGAGAGGGGGUUUCGCCAUGUUGGCCAGGCUGGUCUGGAACUCCUGACCUCAGGUGAUCUGCCUGCCUUGGCCUCCCAAAGUGCUGGGAUAACAGACGUGAGCCACUGCGCCCAGCCUGUUUCUCCUUUUUAAAUAGGGUUAUUGGUCGUCAUCUUGUUGUACCAAUAAAUGCCCUAUAUAAGUGUACCAAACCUUUAAAGAAGAAUUAACACCAGUCCUCAGACUCUUUAAAAAGUUCGUGUAUACUAGACCUUCACAGAUCUGUAGACCUUUAUCAGGUAUAUCAUUUGAGGGUAUUUUCUCCUGUUCUCUGGAUUGUAUUUCCUUUGAUAGAGAAGUUUUUUAUUUUGAUGAAGUUCAAUUUGUCUGUUUCUCUUUUGUCGUCUAUGCUUUUGAUAUCGUAUCCAAAAAGCCAUUUCCAAAUACAAGGUUGAUGAAGAUUAUCCUCAUGUUUUCUUCUGUAAGUUUUAUAGUUGUAGCUCUUAUAUUUAGAUCUUUGGUCCAUUUUUAGGUAAUUUCUUUUACACAGUGUGAGGUAAGAGUCCAGCCUUUUUCUUUUGUUGAUCUAAUUGUUUCAAUACCACUUGUUGAGGACUGUUCUUUCCCUGAAGUUCUGGGUACCCUUGGCAAAAAUCAGUUGGCUGUGGAUAUUUAGGUUUAUUUCUGGACUCUCAAUUACAUUAUCACAUUCUAUAUGUUGAUAAUUGUGCAGGUACCGCCCUGUUUUGAACAUUGUAGUUUUGUACUGUUUUAAAAUUGAGAAGUGUGUUUUCUUUCUCAAGAUGAUUUUGGCUACUUUGGGUCCCUUGCAUUUUCACAUGAACUUCAAGGCUGGCUUUUCCAUAUCUGCAAAAAAAGACCAUUGGGAUUUUUGCUAGGGAAUGAAUCUGUAGAUUGUUUUGGGGAAUAGUGCCAUCUUA
rnacentral:lncRNA from 1 species